UCUACUUAUCACUGAAGACAAGUCAGUUGAGUUCUACUUGUACUGUGGACAAGUAAGUUGAGUUACACUUGAAUUGUGGACCAUUAAGUUCAGUUCGACUUAGACUUUGGAA